GGUGGGGAUGACGUCAAGUCAUCAUGGCCCUUACGAGUAGGGCUACACACGUGCUACAAUGGCGGAUACAAAGUGAAGCGACCUCGCGAGAGCAAGCGGAACACACAAAGUCUGUCGUAGUCCGGAUUGGAGUCUGCAACUCGACUCCAUGAAGUCGGAAUCGCUAGUAAUCGUAGAUCAGCAUGCUACGGUGAAUACGUUCCCGGGCCUUGUACACACCGCCCGUCACACCAUGGGAGUGGGUUGCAAAAGAAGUCGGUAGCUUAACCGCGAGGAGGGCGCUGACCACUUUGUGGCUCAUGACUGGGGUGAAGUCGUAACAAGGUAACCGUAGGGGAACCUGCGGUUGGAUCACCUCCUUACCU
rnacentral:rRNA from 1 species